AUGUUAGAGUUGAAGUCAUGGCAAAAGAUUAAUCUGAAAUACAGUGCGUACUUGAUGGAUAGAGUUGAUUUAGAUUCAUGCUCCUUGAACCUGGAGUCACAGGGGGUGUUGGAUUUGGUUGACAAGAAUAUAAAUUAUGUAUUUGGCAUCCCAUGUGGCAAUCUAACCAUUCAAGGUGAAGGCGUUGAACCAUCUGAAGCUUGUAUCGAGUACACGCGUGUAGCAGCAUCAUUCAGUGAGAAAGGCACACACAGCCUAAAAGCUGCUGAAUCAAUCUUGCUUGCACCCAUAACAGAAAAAUCAACGGAAACAGAGAAGCAUUGUUUCAAAAUUGCCUUUGUGAUUUUCAUCAUUAGACAUGUGCUUGCUCCGACCGCCAAACAUGACUACAUAUCAGUAGAUUUUUGGGCUGCACUGAAUGAUGUCAACAAGAUCAAAGAUUGGAACUGGGGGGCAUAUGUGCUGAAGAAUUUGUUACAAGCAGUUAGGAAGUUCAAAACCGAUGUUUCAAAGAGGAACCCAACCAUACAUAUAGUUGGAUGCCAUCUGUUUCUGCAGGUGUUUGUUCUCGACAACUUAGAGCUCGGUCUACUAAACAAGCAACACGGAGUAACACCAAGAAUAGGCUUGUAUGAUUAUGAGUCAAUGAAAAAGAUGGUCGAGCAAAUCACAGUAAACAUCCCAAGUGGUGAAGUCACUUUCAGCGGUGGCAAGGUCAGGGAUGAUACGCCUGCAGGGGGUAUUGAGUCACAUGUAAAUGUUGCAGGCACAGGAAAGAUUGCCAAACCAGCUUUCACCCCAAAAAGAGCAAGUACUCCAUGCUCGCCAAUGUUGCGAUCUACUUACACAAAGAAUGGCCCGCAAGAGUUUUCAAACUAUAUAUGA
rnacentral:rRNA from 1 species